rnacentral:rRNA from 1 species
GUCCAGACUCCUACGGGAGGCAGCAGUGGGGAAUAUUGCACAAUGGGGGGAACCCUGAUGCAGCGAUGCCGCGUGGGUGAAGGAGCACCUCGGUGCGUAAAGCCCUAUCGGCAGGGAAGAAACAGACGGUACCUGACUAAGAAGCCCCGGCUAACUACGUGCCAGCAGCCGCGGGAAUACGUAGGGGGCAAGCGUUAUCCGGAUUCACUGGGUGUAAAGGGAGCGUAGACGGCGACGCAAGUCUGGAGUGAAAGCCCGGGGCCCAACCCCGGGACUGCUCUGGAAACUGUAUGGCUGGAGUGCAGGAGAGGUAAGUGGAAUUCCUAGUGUAGCGGUGAAAUGCGUAGAUAUUAGGAGGAACACCAGUGGCGAAGGCGGCUUACUGGACUGUAACUGACGUUGAGGCUCGAAAGCGUGGGGAGCAAACAGGAUUAGAUACCCUCGUAUG